rnacentral:pre_miRNA from 14 species
UUAUAAUCUUCUUAACAAAUAUGACUGAGCCAAAUGGAUAUGCAUGUGAAAGACCCCCGGAGCAGGGAGACCCUCACUCAAGUCUCGGGAUGAUGCGACCCCACAAGAACUCACGUGAGACC